rnacentral:rRNA from 1 species
ACCCGCUGAACUUAAGCAUAUCAAUAAGCGGAGGAAAAGAAACCAACAGGGAUUGCCCUAGUAACGGCGAGUGAAGCGGCAACAGCUCAAAUUUGAAAUCUGGCUCUUUUAGAGUCCGAGUUGUAAUUUGCAGAGGGCGCUUUGGCUUUGGCAGCGGUCCAAGUUCCUUGGAACAGGACGUCACAGAGGGUGAGAAUCCCGUACGUGGUCGCUGGCUAUUGCCGUGUAAAGCCCCUUCGACGAGUCGAGUUGUUUGGGAAUGCAGCUCUAAAUGGGAGGUACAUUUCUUCUAAAGCUAAAUAUUAGCCAGAGACCGAUAGCGCACAAGUAGAGUGAUCGAAAGAUGAAAAGCACUUUGGAAAGAGAGUCAAACAGCACGUGAAAUUGUUGAAAGGGAAGCGCUUGCAGCCAGACUUGCUUACAGUUGCUCAUCCGGGCUUUUGCCCGGUGCACUCUUCUGUAGGCAGGCCAGCAUCAGUUUGGGCGGUAGGAUAAAGGUCUCUGUCACGUACCUCUCUUCGGGGAGGCCUUAUAGGGGAGACGACAUACUACCAGCCUGGACUGAGGUCCGCGCAUCUGCUAGGAUGCUGGCGUAAUGGCUGU